CAGAGCACUUUAAGCCCGUUCUGACAAAGUUGCGUCAUUUAUUUAGAAUGCCUUUCCAUUUGUCAGGAUCCUCGACAGGCAAACAUCUGCAUGGACAUAAAUGCUGUAGGACUGAGAGAGAAAUAGAGACACACUUCAGUUCCCUCAUCAGCAGUGAGAGCUUCAUCGAAAUGCAUGAGGUUAUAUCAGCUGUGUCGGUGAACCCCUCCCGCAUCUGAGCUGGCUACAUAGAGGGCACACACAGCAUGAUCAGAGGUGUGUGGUCACUUGGUCAGGUCAACAAGAAGUACUACUAAAGAGAUGCUUUACAUUGAAAUACCGAUAGAGAUGCAGUAGUCCCAGAGUUAAUGAUCCAAGAUAUGUUUUGAUGUGAGAGAGGAUGCCAACCCCCAGUCCCAUCAUCGCCACCUCACCCGCUUUUAAGAUAACCUUUGGGCCAACUAUAGACACUAUUAUGUAAAUGUGAUGAACUGAGAGAAUAUUAGGGUAGCACUGUGAUUCAUUAAUCAUAUGCUGCCUUCCCUGCUCCUAUGUCUUACUUCUUUCCCUUUCUGUCUUUUACACCUCUCUCACCGCCUCUUUCUCCCUCUGUUUUUAUAAUACACAACAUAUGUGCAUUGAAGUACAGAUUAAACUUGUAUUUAUAAUAUUACAAUUAUAAUAUUUAUAAUGCAUGUAUUUAUAACACUGAAUUAUGAACUUCUUUCAAAAAAAGUAUUUCAUUUGAUGAGAUACUACACCUGUCCUGUUUAGCAGAUCAAUGCAGAUGAAGGGCAUUAGAUACUGAGAUGAACUGGUUUUAGAGUAUUUACAUAAUGCAUAGGAAGUGUUGUGUACUGUUUUUUAAAAUUAUAUUUCUGUAUAUAUGAAUUACAAAUCAGCCUUUAACUAGUUAAAUCCUGUUUCUAGUCUAUUAGUUACAAUGUGUAACCAUUGACGUCCCAGGACCAAGAUUGGUAAACACUGUUAGCCCACGCUAGGCAUUACGCAUGGUGAUCUUAGGUUUGUUUGCGGCUGCUCGGCCAUGGAAACCCACUUCAUGAAGCUCCCAAUAAACAGUUAUUGUGCUGACAUUGUUUCCAGAGGCAGUUUGGAACUCGGUAGUGAGUGUCGCAACCGAGAACAUAGGAUUUUUACGUGCUAUGCGCUUCAUCACUCGUAGGUCCAGUUCUGUGAGCUGGUGCGACAUACCACUUCGUGACUGAGCAGUUGUUGCUCAUAAAUGAUUC